rnacentral:rRNA from 1 species
CUACGGGAUGCUGCAGUGAGGAAUUUUGCGCAAUGGGGGAAACCCUGACGCAGCAACGCCGCGUGAGCGAAGAAGGCCCUCGGGUCGUAAAGCUCUGUCAAGUGGGAAAAAAGCCUUUUGAUCAAUACCCAAAAGGUUUGAUGGUACCACUGGAGGAAGCACCGGCUAACUCCGUGCCAGCAGCCGCGGUAAUACGGAGGGGGCAAGCGUUGUUCGGAAUUACUGGGCGUAAAGGGCGUGCAGGCGGUUUGGCAAGUCAGAUGUGAAAGCCCUGGGCUUAACCCGGGAAGUGCAUUUGAAACUGCCUUUCUUGAGUAUGGGAGAGGAGAGUGGAAUUCCCAGUGUAGAGGUGAAAUUCGUAGAUAUUGGGAGGAACACCCGUGGCGAAGGCGACUCUCUGGACCAAUACUGACGCUGAGACGCGAAAGCGUGGGGAGCAAACAGGAUUAGAUACCCGGGUAGUC